CCUACGGGGGGCAGCAGUGAGGAAUAUUGGUCAAUGGGCGCGAGUCUGAACCAGCCAAGUAGCGUGAAGGAUGACUGCCCUAUGGGUUGUAAACUUCUUUUAUAAAGGAAUAAAAUGCAGCACGUGUGCUUUUUUGUAUGUACUUUAUGAAUAAGGAUCGGCUAACUCCGUGCCAGCAGCCGCGGUAAUACGGAGGAUCCGAGCGUUAUCCGGAUUUAUUGGGUUUAAAGGGAGCGUAGAUGGUUUUGUAAGUCAGUUGUGAAAGUUUGCGGCUAAACCGUAAAAUUGCAAGUGAUACUGGUUGUUUUGAGGACAGUUGAGGUAGGCGGAAUUCGUGGUGUAGCGGUGAAAUGCUUAGAUAUCACGAAGAACUCCGAUUGCGAAGGCAGCUUACUAGACUGCCACUGACAUUGAUGCUCGAAAGUGUGGGUAUCAAACAGGAUUAGAUACCCCGGUAGUC
rnacentral:rRNA from 1 species